GGCCGGCUGGCUCAGCUGGUUAGAGCAUGGCGCUGUUGUGCCAAGGUCGUCGGUUCGACCCCGGCGCCGGCCA